rnacentral:rRNA from 1 species
UACGUAGGGUGCAAGCGUUGUCCGGAAUUAUUGGGCGUAAAGAGCUCGUAGGCGGUUUGUCGCGUCUGCUGUGAAAACGCGAGGCUCAACCUCGCGCCUGCAGUGGGUACGGGCAGACUAGAGUGCGGUAGGGGAGAUUGGAAUUCCUGGUGUAGCGGUGGAAUGCGCAGAUAUCAGGAGGAACACCGGUGGCGAAGGCGGAUCUCUGGGCCGAUACUGACACUGAGGAGCGAAAGCGUGGGGAGCGAACAGG